CCAAUAGCGUAUAUUAAAGUUGUUGCAGUUAAAAAGCUCGUAGUUGAAUUUCGGGAUCAAUAUGUCGGUCGUGCCUUGGUAUGUACUGGCAUUAUUGAUUCUUACCUUCUGAAGAAUCUCGAUGUCAUUAAUUUGGUGUCUUGGAGAAUCAGGACUGUUACUUUGAAAAAAUUAGAGUGUUUAAAGCAGGCUCACGCUUGAAUACAUUAGCAUGGAAUAAUGAAAUAGGACGUUUGAUUCUAUUUUGUUGGUUUCUAGGAUCGACGUAAUGAUUAAUAGGGAUAGUUGGGGGCAUUAGUAUUCAAUUGUCAGAGGUGAAAUUCUUGGAUUUAUUGAAGACUAACUACUGCGAAAGCAUUUGCCAAGGAUGUUUUCAUUAAUCAAGAACGAAAGUUAGGGGAUCGAAGACGAUCAGAUACCGUCGUAGUCUUAACCAUAAACUAUGCCGACUAGGGAUCGGAUGAUGUUAAUUUUUUAAUGACUCAUUCGGCGCCUUACG
rnacentral:rRNA from 1 species